AGGGUAUUGUGUUUUUAAAAAUGUACUGGCAUUGGAAGACUUUUUUUCCUCGGAACACCAACCAAACCCCCCCCCCCCCCCCCGGCUUCCUUCUCUGAGAUUAUUAUGUGAAGAUAGUAAGAGAAACGAGAGGGUGUGCGUGUGUACCUCCAAUUCUUUGAUGUAAAUAUUCUUGAACAUAUUGAAGCAGGUUCAUGCUUCAUUUUGUUGCUGUAAAUAAGAUGUAUAUAAUGUAAAUUGUGUAUUAUGAUAAGAGAAGUGGC
rnacentral:misc_RNA from 1 species